rnacentral:lncRNA from 1 species
AAGGGUGAGAGUGAGAGACCGAAGCUGCAUGAAGAAAACCAUAAACCUCACCGAGCUUCUAACUUCAAUUUCUUGCGAUCCGUAACUCCAAUAAAAAAUCUAAUCCGAUAAAAGUGUUCGUAUCUUCCUCCUUUACGUGUUGGUGUUAUUUUUGUCCGGUGGAAGUCGACGGUGACAUAGCUCUCCUGCCCCUUGAGUUCGGCCAACUGGAGUUCUAGGAGGCACAGAUGAUUUCUGACGCUUUCCUCUUCAGCAGCUCGGUCAGAAAGUUUUUCCGGAGCUUUCGUUGAUUUCGAUCUCAUACGGAGAUAGGGGAUUUAUUUUUAAAGAUAAACGUUUUUAAUUUAGAAUACC